CAGUAGCCACGGUAAUACGUAGGUGGCAAGCGUUGUCCGGAAUUAUUGGGCGUAAAGGGCUCGCAGGCGGUUUCUUAAGUCUGAUGUGAAAGCCCCCGGUUCAACCGGGGAGGGUCAUUGGAAACUGGGAAACUUGAGUGCAGAAGAGGAGAGUGAAAUUCACGUGUAGCGGUGAAAUGCGUAGAGAUGUGGAGGAACACCAGUGGCGAAGGCGACUCUCUGGUCUGUAACUGACGCUGAGGAGCGAAAGCGUGGGGAGCGAACAGGAUUAGAUACCCCCGUAGUCCCUGUCUCUUAUACC
rnacentral:rRNA from 1 species